AAUAGAUACCCAGGUAGUCCAUGCCGUAAACGUUGGGCACUAGGUGUGGGGGACAUUCCACGUUUUCCGCGCCGUAGCUAACGCAUUAAGUGCCCCGCCUGGGGAGUACGGCCGCAAGGCUAAAACUCAAAGGAAUUGACGGGGGCCCGCACAAGCGGCGGAGCAUGCGGAUUAAUUCGAUGCAACGCGAAGAACCUUACCAAGGCUUGACAUGAACCAGACCGGGCUGGAAACAGUCCUUCCCCUUUGGGGUUGGUUUACAGGUGGUGCAUGGUUGUCGUCAGCUCGUGUCGUGAGAUAUUGGGUUAAGUCCCGCAACGAGCGCAACCCUCGUUCCAUGUUGCCAGCGGGUAGUGCCGGGGACUCAUGGGAGACUGCCGGGGUCAACUCGGAGGAAGGUGGGGACGACGUCAAAUCAUCAUGCCCCUUAUGUCUUGGGCUUCACGCAUGCUACAAUGGCCGGUACAAAGGGUUGCGAUACUGUGAGGUGGAGCUAAUCCCAAAAAGCCGGUCUCAGUUCGGAUUGGGGUCUGCAACUCGACCCCA
rnacentral:rRNA from 1 species